CGUUGGGCAAAAGGUUUUCAUCUUGCACUCUCGAUUUGCGCUUCUGGACUACUAAAAAUCUUUCUACAGCUGAACCUGCUGAUGGGGCCUUAUCUACUGCAAAUAUGUUAGGCCAAAUGUUUCAACAUUGCUAGAUUUAUUUGCUCCAAGCAUGUAACACCCCUCAUUUCCGAAUGUUCGUAUAAAUUUUUGGGAAUAAUGUAAGCAUCUAUUUUAAUUGACAAAAGAAAUAGAGUAUGGAUUAGAGGUAACUUAUUUUUAAGAUUUGGGAGAUCUGUUCAAAAAAAAAAAAAAAAAAAAAAAGAAUCUGAGGACCUAUAUGUAAACCCUAAGGACCUAAUCGUGAAUAUGAUAAAAACAAGGACUAAUCUGCAAAAUGCACCAAAUGACAAAUCCCACCGCUUAAGCUUCUCUGCCUUCGUUCUUAAGGAAGCAGAGAAGGCAGCUCGUGGGUGAUCAGGGAAAGAAAGAAAGAAAGAAGAAGAAGAAGAAGAAGAAGAAGAAGAAGAAGAGAAACAAAAAUUGGGGCUUUUGGGGUUCUUGCUUUAAUCUUUUCAUUGGGGGUCAAAAUUCUCAAAGGAUAGCGUAUCACUUGCUUAAAUGUUAAGAAUGGGCUGAGGCAGUGGAAAGUUUAGAAGACGUUGGGCAGAACUUUUGUUAGCAUACAUGUAGUUGUGUAAAAGCUACCUUGCAUCUAAUGAAAUGUGACUAUGAAUCUAAACUUGUGGAUUUUGUGUAAGUUAAUGGAUCCCUCAUGUAUAGGGUUUUGGAAUGUUAAAUUAAAUUCGUGUAAUGAUAUGAACUUAUGGUAAA